rnacentral:rRNA from 1 species
UACGAAGGGGGCUAGCGUUGUUCGGAAUCACUGGGCGUAAAGGGCGCGUAGGUGGUUUCGCAAGUCAAGUGUGAAAGCCCCCGGCUCAACCGGGGAGGGCGGCUGGAAACUGUGCUUCUUGAGGGCGAUAGAGGAGUGUGGAAUUCCUGGUGUAGCGGUGAAAUGCGUAGAGAUCAGGAGGAACACCCGUGGCGAAGGCGGCACUCUGGAUCGGCCCUGACGCUGAGGCGCGAAAGCGUGGGGAGCGAACGGG